UUGAAACAUUGGUUCCCGUACGACGGUCACCGAAGUUAGGCAACGUCGAGUUUGGUUAGUACUUAGAUGGGUGACCUCUUGGAAAUACCAUGUUCUGUCA